GAUGCUUACAGCAGUUAUAUAUGAGCAUAAGCCUGGUGUGCUUCAAUCCAAUCAAAGUUUAUUCAGCCACUGCAUGCUCUGCUUUCUGCUGAUUGAAAGCUCUAUUGCAUGUUUCUCUGGGCUGUGAGUAACCCUGAACGCAAGAGAGCCAGGAAUAACUCCUUUGGUUUGCUGUCAAGGCUUGACAGUCACUACUUUUAUCUUGUUGGUGAGAAAACAAGGGCAACAGAAAGAACUGAGCCAGGCAACUGGUGGCAGAGAGAGAAGCAGCAUCUGAAAGGCUCACACAACUCAGAAGUACAUUUGCUACAUCUGCCCGUUCAGACAUGCAGCUUGGACUGCCAGAUACUGUCUACUGUAUACAGGCUGCACCAAUCAGUGGCCAAGGCUACAGCACUGGGCAAAGUAACCAGCUGAGAUAGAAAUAAAAAAAAUCAAAGUUACC